UCAGACCUUUCCAGACAGCCAUGCUUCCCUGAGCGAUACUCUCCGUUGCCCUCAUUAUUCCUCCUGACUUGCCCAUAGGUCUUCUUCCAAGGCCGUCAUCUAAUUGUGAUGUGAGCCUCAUCACAGCUGCCACAACACGUCACGAGACACGUACAUGGCACACACUCAGAGCUGAAGCUGCAAGUGAAAACAGGAAGCAGGCAGGCUUUCCAUUCCAGAGGGAACUGUCUCAGAUGCCUUGGAGAAUGACUCCCAGCUUCUGCCUCGCUUUGGCCAUUGGGAGCUCUCCGUCGACUCCCGUGCCCCCGUGUCACACCCCCAUCAAUGCGGGCUUUUUGUGUAAACUCAGUUUUGUGAGGACUUUGGCACAAGUUCCAUCUGGCGUCCCUGAGAGCGGGCUGGCACCGAUAGUGGGUGUGUCUGCAAGAAUCCAUGCUGCGCCAGCCUGGGCAUGUCUGCUUGUAAAGAGCAGAGCAAUGAAGAACUGAGUACUUCCUGCACCAGCUCCACCGGGCUCCACAAACACCUUUAGCAGUGACUAUGGAGAGAUGACAUUGUCUUGUUUGUUUAGUACUUGCUGUAAGUUUUAGUUGUUUAUUGCCUAACUUUUAUGUUUAUGAUGAGGAUAAAGAGCAGUUGGAUAUUUUGA